rnacentral:rRNA from 1 species
GAUGAACGCUAGCGGCAGGCCUAAUACAUGCAAGUCGAACGAUAGUAUUAAGCUUGCUUAAUAUGAAAGUGGCGCACGGGUGCGUAACGCGUAUGAAACCUACCUUAAUCAGGGGGAUAGCCUUUCGAAAGAAAGAUUAAUACCGCAUAAUAUCACGAUGGGGCAUCCUGUUGUGAUCAAAUAUUUAUAGGAUUAAGAUGGUCAUGCGUGACAUUAGCUAGUUGGAGAGGUAAUGGCUCACUAAGGCGACGAUGUCUAGGGGAUCUGAGAGGAUGGCCCCCCACACUGGUACUGAGACACGGACCAGACUCCUACGGGAGGCAGCAGUAAGGAAUAUUGGUCAAUGGGCGGAAGCCUGAACCAGCCAUGCCGCGUGCAGGAAGACGGCCCUACGGGUUGUAAACUGCUUUUAUUCGGGAAUAAAUCUUUCUACGUGUAGGGAGUUGAAUGUACUGAAAGAAUAAGGAUCGGCUAACUCCGUGCCAGC